GCCUUCCAUGGAAUAGGAAAGGCCAUUUCCAACCAGAGCGCAGAAAGAGGUUGAAUGACCUCUGCCCAGCCACGGGCUCAGGAGCCCCAAGAACUUAAAUAGGAGCUUCAACCCUGGAGGUAUGUCAUCAACUUUUCAUACACAGAAAAUUAUAAUUGCUGUCUCUGCAGUUAUUGCCCAUGUUUUCCAAGUGCCAUCUGUCAAGAGGCACUAGCCACCUAAGCCUCAUAGAACUUGUGCAGUCACUAAUUAAUCCCAGAAGACAGUCCCAGCUAAGUAGAAGUGCAUUAUUUUUAAAAGAUGGAAGGAAACCAGCCACCAUAAGAUACUACAUAAGGAGGGCAAUUCCCUGAGUCACUGUGGAAAAGCAAAACGAGGGAGGAAACGAUUUGCAAAAUGCAAAAGCAAACUCAGUCCUUAACAUUAAGUGCUGGCAAUCACAGUCCCAGUGUAGAAAGUUUUCAAUUGUGGUUUUGGGAUUGCUGGUCUCUGGGGACAUUUCUCAGGGCUGUGUGGAGUAUUUUUGAAGAGUCCACUUCUGAUGUUUUUAGAAAAUCUCAAUUUUCUGUCCUCAUCCCAGUCUCCUUCUCUUCUGCCCCCAAAUCCUACAUUCCUUGCUCUCCGCUGGAUAGAAAAGAGACUUCUCCUUGAUCAAGCCUCUCUGUUUGCUUUUAGAUAUAUGCAUUGCAGGUCCUGAACCCAAGGAAAUGUCCCCAAGUCACUUGUUCCCUUUUCUGAGGACAUGACUGUGGCUGUGAGCUUCCUUUCCCAGAUCCUGGGGCCCAUCCUGUCCAUUUGCUACAGCACUUCCUCCCAAGCCUCUGGGCAGAGCUUCAUCCCCACUGCCUUUCCCACCCAUGCAGCAGACAGGUGACCAAGCUGGCCAAUCAGAGUGGUCGAAGCUGAGGCAGGGCUGACCUGUGGCCAAUUAGGUCUCUGAGGAUGACUGGGCUGAGGCAGAGUCUCAGGUGCUCAGAGCCCACAGGAGAAGGGGCUGGGGCUGGAAGGUGGAGAACCCUCUGUGGAGAGGCCCCUGGUGACACCCUCUGGACCUCUGGACUUGCAAGCCUCAGUCCUCCUGCUUCCACCUCCAGUUUUAGGGUCUAAUACAUUCCUUUCUUAAAAUUAUGUAUAACUGACAUAACAUAUUAUCCCACCCCCACAUUCCCAGAAUAGGCUUCUAAUGCCUCUCUUUUCCCCAGGGCAGUUACAGUGUGUCUGCUUUGUCCCCAGCACUGUCUGUAUGAUCCUUCCACAGCCUUGUCGUUGAAGGUGGAGAAAUGAGGGUCAGGGGGCAGAUAUAGCCUUGGGAGGCCUCCAGCCCCUGGAUGAGGCAUUCAGAACAGAAGCCCAGGGCUACCUGUGUGGGGGUGUCCUGAGAGUGGGAUCAAGGUGAGGGGCUUCUCAGACACCCCUCCAGGAGCUCCCAUCCUGAGUUUCCCAUGGGAUUGGCCACUGGAGUGCUCACAUGAAAUCCUCAUGGGACCCCUUAAACAAAGCCUCCCAGGAUGUCCCAGGACACUCCAUGCAUGACUAGGGCAGCCCAAGGCUCAGGAUCCCCAAAAUUCAUUUCUUUCCUUGUCUGCCGUUUUUGUUGUUGUUGUUUGGUUGGUUGGGUUUUCUUUUUUUAGGGCUGCACCCAUGGCAUAUGGAAGUUCCAGGCAAGGAGUUGAAUCAGAGCUGCUGUGGCCAGCCUGCACCGCAGCCACAGCAACAUGGGAUCCGAGCCACAUCUGCAAUCUAUGCCACAGCUCAUGGCAACGCCAGAUCCUUAGCCCACUGAGUGAGGCCAGGGAUUGAACCUGCAUCCUCAUGGAUACUAGUCAGGUUUGCUACUGCUGAGCCAAGACGUGAACUCCUUUUGCCUGGGUUUUAAUUUAAGCAGAUAUUUGAGGCCCAAAUGGUGCUUAGCGCAAAGCUCCUUACCAGUAAUGCCAGGACCAAAACAAAAAGAAGUGGGUGGUCCAGAACUGUCCAGGCUGUUCACCAGUAUGAUAUUGGCAGCCACCAUGUCCAUGCUGAAACCCAGAAAAGGCAGUGCUUCACACCACAUCAAAAUAGGGUUCAGACACUAUUCACAACAGCCAAGACAUGGAAGUAGCCUAAGUGUCCAUCAACAGAUGAAUGGAUAUAGAAAAUGUGGUACAUAUAUACAAUAGAAUA
rnacentral:lncRNA from 1 species